UACAGAGGUCUCAAGCGUUGUUCGGAUUCAUUGGGCGUAAAGGGUGCGUAGGUGGCGCUGUAAGUCGGGUGUGAAAUUUCGGAGCUUAACUCCGAAACUGCAUUCGAUACUGCGGUGCUUGAGGACUGAAGAGGAGACUGGAAUUCAUGGUGUAGCAGUGAAAUGCGUAGAGAUCAUGAGGAAGACCAGUGGCGAAGGCGGGUCUCUGGACAGUUCCUGACACUGAGGCACGAAGGCCAGGGGAGUAAACGGG
rnacentral:rRNA from 1 species